UACGAAGGGGGCUAGCGUUGUUCGGAGUUACUGGGCGUAAAGGGCGCGUAGGCGGCUAGAUGUGUCAAAGGUGAAAUCCCUCGGCUCAACUGAGGAACUGCCUUUGAAACUGUCUGGCUUGAGGCCGGGAGAGGGUAGCGGAAUUCCCAGUGUAGCGGUGAAAUGCGUAGAUAUUGGGAGGAACACCAGUGGCGAAGGCGGCUACCUGGACCGGUUCUGACGCUGAGGCGCGAAAGCGUGGGUAGCAAACAGG
rnacentral:rRNA from 1 species